ensembl:lncRNA
GUGAUGGGGCCUGGCUUGGAGGUCGAGAAGCCACGUAAGGGUGAACGGGCCGUUCAGGGCAUUAAAUGCCAUCUCCCACGUGCGCUGUCCCUGGUGCACGAGGCGUCUUCAUUCUCGGCCCUGAACCCUGCCGCCUCCUGUGCAGGUGCCGGUGAACGAAGCUUAGCUCCUCGGGUAUCUUUUACAGUUUUGUUCUGUUUUCUGUGGACGCUUGGCAUCACCUAACAGUGCUUUGCACACAGCAGAUUCUUUACCAUCUGAACCACCAGGGAAGCCCUUCACACUAACCAGGGAGGUGAACACAGCCCUUUCUCUGCUAGAUCUCCAGCCCAGGCUGUGUUCCAGACACUGAGUUACUUUCUGGUUCCAGAGAAGGGCCUGACUUGCUGCUUGGCCUGCUCUUGUCCUUGCUACCUCCCGCCACCUUGCAGUCUUGGCUCACGGGUUCCUCUCUUUUCCCAGGACGACUUAGACACCAUGUGCCUGUGGGAGCAGUGCUUGCCGCAGCCUGCCUUCAUUCCAUCUCCAUCACUUACAGUUCAUCCAAGAGGAUAGGGACCAUGUCUGUCUCAUUCCGAAGUGUGUUUCUAUCACCGUCCUGUGCCCUGCACAUAACAGACGGUCACUAACGGUUGCCCCUGAAUGACAGUUUUAUAGAAGGGGCACCACUCAAGCCAGCCGGGCUGGGACAGUCCUUUUUCACACCUGUUUUCUUACGUAGUUUUCACAGAAAUCACUUUCAUUUCUCACAAUUGUUCUGGCUUGAAUGACAUAUUGG